CUCUGUAAGUGCAUGUAAGUGCAGACCAUGCAUAACGACUUUUUUUUUUUUCCCCAAAAAGUACUUCAUGGAAAGAAAAACAGUAACUUUACAAAUACUAUCUCAAGCCAGGUGAUCAAGGUUAACAUCAACAGUGAUAAGUCAUAAUGAUAGUAUGUACCCUUCAAAUUAUAUGAUGAGAAUGCCAUCUUACCUCUCUGUCUUCCUCCCAAAAACAUAUUAACCAUGAGGAAAACAUCAAAUUCCAGUUAAAGGAGAUUCUACAAAAUAGGCCUGACCAGUAAUCUUCAAAAUUGUGAAGAUCACCAAAAUUGUCAAGAUCACCAAAAAUCUGAAAAACAGUCACAGUCCAGGGGAGCCUAAGGAGGAUAAGAACUAAAUGUGGUCCCAGACAAGAUCCUGGAACAGAAAAUGAACACUAAGGGAAAACUAAGGAAAUAUGAACAAGGAGAUUCCAUGAAAGGAGAGAGGCUGGCACAGCUGGUUGUUCUAUGGCCAUGAGGAGAAGCAUGACAAGAGAGAAGAGAUGCCACUAGAUGAAAAGAACUCUCCAGAGAAGAGUGGAGGCCCAAACUGGGAAGUUAGCUGUAGCAGCUGAUGUCACAAAGCCUGGCUGAGGACCAAAGAGAAACAGGUUCGUUUGGAAGUUCGUAUCUGAGCAGACUGGCUCAACCAGAAGUCCAGAAAAGUGUGGACCAGCUUCAACAGGACAGCACUAACACAGACUACUGCAGUCUCUGCACAGAGAGGCCUAAAGGAGAGGUCACAGCAGUACUCUGCAGAUUCAACAAUAGCACUAGAGAGACAGAACAAGAAAUUUCAUGCUCUGCCUUUU
rnacentral:lncRNA from 10 species